UGGGGAAUUUUGCGCAAUGGGGGCAACCCUGACGCAGCAACGCCGCGUGAGUGAUGAAGGCUUUCGGGUCGUAAAGCUCUGUCAAGAGAGACGAAGUGUAGAGAGGCUAAUACCCUUUUUACUUGACGGUACCUCUGAAGGAAGCACCGGCUAACUCCGUGCCAGCAGCCGCGGUAAUACGGAGGGUGCAAGCGUUGUUCGGAUUUAUUGGGCGUAAAGCGCGUGUAGGCGGUUUGUUAAGUCUGAUGUGAAAGCCCCGGGCUCAACCUGGGAAGUGCAUUGGAAACUGGCAGACUUGAAUACGGGAGAGGGUAGUGGAAUUCCUGGUGUAGGAGUGAAAUCCGUAGAUAUCAGGAGGAACACCGGUGGCGAAGGCGGCUGCCUGGACCGAUAUUGACGCUGAGACGCGAAAGCGUGGGGAGCAAACAGGA
rnacentral:rRNA from 1 species